AAUGUGCAGUUUAACUUAAUUGUUGUGUUUAUAAUGGUUAGUGAGAAUCUGUUCAUUGGUAGCCAGCUCCACCUUUCACUUCUUACUAUGUGCGUAAAUGUGGUUACUAAGAUACGGUAGCGUGUUGCUAUGGACGCGUGGGCGGACAGGCAGAGGGAUCGCCGUCAAAUAAUAUUCCCGCCAACUGAAAGAACCUUGAAGAAAGACAGUGGGCUCAGGGUUUUAGGUGUGUGAGAGCAGAGGACUUAAACGAAGCCGUGCUGCUGGGGUCAAGCUGUCCAGCAUACACAGGUCUGCAAAACGGUUCUCAUCGGGCAACUUCAAAAACUGUCGCUUUGACGCAUUCAGGCUCUUGCUGUUGGCUGAAAGACAUUGGACCAUUCUGUUUCAUCCCCAGUGCUUUGGUAAUGAUUGAUUAAAUGAAUAUAUCUCAGCUUGCAGCAAGUGCUGAAAGGGAUUUGUAUUAAACAAGAUGUCUGAAGGCAUCUCUCUUCACGAAUUCCAUCUCAGAGUUUGACUUCAGCCCAUCUCUCUCCUCCGCUGGUGGUUAUGCAACAUUCCAUCAAGCCGUGGUGGUUAUGGCCACCAUGCCGCUUCACCGUUCUCACCAUAAUCGUGCAAACAAGGUAAAAUAUCAACGGAUGAUGUCACUGCAAAGGUGCAGUCUCAUUAACAAAAUGUAUUAGAGGUCAACUACAUGUGACUGAGAGGAGCUGUGUUUGAGAUUUCACGGCAGCAAUUUUAGAUUAGUAGGGGGGAAAAGUGGAAGGGUAAGAGAAGGGACAGAGAGAGAGAGAGAGAGAGAGAGUGAUGCUGUACAGAGGGCUUUCAUCUUAACUCUGUCAGUGCAGGAUGUCAUUGAGUAGAAGAACAAUCUAGAACACAAGCAGAGAGAAUGAUUCAUAGCUCUGGAGGGAGAAGGAGCCACAUCUUUUUAAGUCUGAAUGCACCUCCAUAAGAACGUGUCUCCUGUUUAAUGGGCAAAACUGUUGUACAUCAUAUAUCCAGGGAGAGGUUUUGUAACGGGAUGCCUUUGGCUGGGCAAUAAAGAAGAACUGAAGAGGGCGACAGACUAAGAGAGAACAAAGAAGAAGAAAAAAUCCUGCUGUUAGGAGGUCUGUAGUGAUGUCACACAUUUACAUCACAUCGCCAUAGCAACCUUGCAUCAGCACCAAGUAACUGAAAAAGGAGAGGAGGCCAGAGAAGGAGAGGGACAGAGAGUGAGAGACUGCAGCGGUAUGUAGUAGCUGCCAAUCUGGAGCCACUAGACUAAUGAUGAAAAUGAAACAGUGAUGAAAAUAUGUUGCUAUAAUAGAGGCAGUAGGAAUCCUAUUUGACACCUUAUAGAGGCUUUGGUACUAUAAGGUACUAUCACUAACCUACUGCAUGAAUUAUUUCCUCAUUGCUUCACCUCAGCCACAUCGUUCAAUGUUAAUACACUGGCGAUUUAUGAAUGGCCGCACCACCAUUCAAGCCUGCUGGCCAGACUAUUCCCAUGCUGAUCCAGAGGAGAUGCUGCGGAACGCCUCACAGCCUCGGAGCAGCGCAGCGCAGAGCAGAAGACUGAGUGAGAGUGAGCCUGACACCAGCAACAAAAGUCCCCCUGUUCCCACUGUUCUGUGCCCCACGUUCUAAAAAUAAACCCAACGGAGGGAAAAAAAGAGAAAGAGUACAAGGCUACAGGCUCUGGAAGCAUCACCGUCAGAGGGGAGGGGAGGAGCGGGAGAAAGGGAGAGGAGGAAGGGAGGGGGAGUUGAGGCAGUGAGUAGGUGUGUGUGGGCGGCGUUUGUAUUGCUCACUUGUGUUGCAUAGACAUCUAUGGGGCUGCUUGCACACAUGCCAAGACAAUUGGCACACUCCUGGUGACCAUGAACGCAAUCAGUGCCCUUGUGUGUGUGCGCACAGUCAAGAACUCAAAUGGAAUUACAGUUCAUAACGACAGAACGAUUUACACUGCAACACAAGACUAUAUUCAUGUGCCCUCAUUUCAUUUUCUUCCCUCAGAAAUGCAUUCUCCCAGUUAUCUGGCCACCCAUCCGUUUAAUCAUCGAUGUGUCCAUCCAUCCGUCCGUUCACUUUUGCGUCCCUCCAGCUCACCUGCCUAUUAAACAUGUAAGCCUGGUCUUUACUUCCACAUCUCUCCUCUUUCUCUUCUCUCUUUCAUUAUCACUCUUUCUCUGCCCCUCUCCUUGCCUGCCGCGUCUUCGCUUGCUCUUGCUCCAACGCAAGAGGGUUGCUAGGCGACUGAUUAGCUCUUUUCUUUCGAGAAGUGGAGUGAAGACCUUGAUCCUCUCUGUAUAAAAAUAAACACCAGAGAAAAGACAGAACAUGUGGAGAAAGAGAACAAACAUCCUUCAGCUACUAAAGGGAAAAGGGCUUCCAUUCUGUUGCCCAGAAGAGUAUUUUCUGACAUGCUCUUGACUUUUCACUCGCAACCACCUACUACAUUUUUGUAUAUUCUAUAAAUAGGGACACCUUCUCUUUUCGGGAGAAAUACGGCUUGAUUGAAAUUCAAUUCGUGUCCAUUCUGAGAUGCACUGUUGAAAAAUCUCACAUCUGACACGAGACCCAAACCCAACUAAUGCAACUCCCAAAGAGCUGUUCCUCCAGUGUGGCUUUGCCUCUGGUCGGGGCACAGCAGAAUAACAUUAGACUGAGUGACCAAGUCAUACCAUGACUCAGCCUAGAGUAGGAUGCAAAACAGCUUUGGGUGUUACCCUGUAUUAGUCUUCCAGUGCCAGAUUGAAACUUGGUC